rnacentral:rRNA from 1 species
CAAUAGCGUAUAUUAAAGUUGUUGCAGUUAAAAAGCUCGUAGUUGGAUUUGUGGUGUACGCCGGCGGCCCGUCGCAAGACGGAGCUUGCUUGCGUCGCCAUCCUUGGGUGGAUCCUGUGUGGCAUUCAGUUGUCGUGCAGGGGAUGCCCAUCGUUUACUGUGAAAAAAUUAGAGUGUUCAAAGCAGGCUUAUGCCGUUGAAUAUAUUAGCAUGGAAUAAUAAGAUAGGACCUUGGUACUAUUUUGUUGGUUUGCGCACCAAGGUAAUGAUUAAUAGGGACAGUUGGGGGUAUUCGUAUUCCAUUGUCAGAGGUGAAAUUCUUGGAUUUUUGGAAGACGAACUACUGCGAAAGCAUUUACCAAGGAUGUUUUCAUUAA